AGGCGUCAGCUUCCUUGCCAGUGUGUGCGUUCCCAGCGUCAGUAGCUACUGUUCUUGGUGGCGAUCGACUCCCCUCUGCCUGGGCUUCAUUUUGGCGGUGGUGGUGUCGCAAAUGGUGGCCGGAGUUGGUAGUUGCGGUGGAGAGAGAAAGUGGGUGGCAGUCCGGGGUUUUUGGCAUUUCCGGCGAGUGAUGGAUGAUCGGAGGGCAUAUCCGGACUCUCCUCAGCCCAAGCUUUCCAAUGGCAAUGAUUUUGUGGCGAUCAGACUCGUUUGAAAAUUGACGGCCGAGAUCAUCCGUAAAUCUCUCCAGAUGAUUGGGGGUCGGAUCGGAAGAUCUGAAGCUGGAAUCGUCAUCAACGUGUCGUCUCGAGUCCGUUGGUGCGUUCGGAUCGUCGAUCAGACUCCGGCGGCUGGAGGCGAGUCGACAGAGCGAUCAAGCGUCUCAGUGAUUGUUAGUCUUACCGCAGUUCUCAUCUAGCAACCCGACUCCUUCAUCUAGCAACCCGACUCCUUCAUCAUCGGGUUGAUGUAAUUGAUUUUGAUUUAAGCACAAAUCUUUUUGAGGGGAUGGAGAAUGAUGGAAUCCCAAAGCCUAAGCACCAAAAUAGCAUCCAAGACAAGAGAAUCAAGCUCAAAGCCAAAUGAUCCAUUGUUCAUUAAGGGAGGUCCAAUCACAAGAGCUAGACCUAAGAGAAUGAAUGAGGUCUUAAAUGGGCUUAUUCAGAAUAUUUUGGCUAGUCAUAACUCUAUAAAGUUUGAAUUUUUUUUUAUACUAAUAGGCCUUUUUAAUAAUAUGUAAUAUAAUACAUGUAAUGAGACAUAUUAGCUAUACAUUAGAUUAAAAUAUACAUUAAAUUUUUUAUUUAUAUUAUAAAA